rnacentral:rRNA from 1 species
UGGCGGCACUAGCGCGGUGGUCCCACCUGACCCCAUGCCGAACUCAGAAGUGAAACGCCGUAGCGCCGAUGGUAGUGUGGGGUCUCCCCAUGUGAGAGUAGGAACUGCCAGGCA